rnacentral:tRNA from 1 species
UCUAAAUUAGUUUUUAAAAUGCCAUUUUGUCAAGAUGGAGUUACUAUAGUAGUUAGUAUUUAGUA